UACGGGGGGGGCAAGCGUUGUUCGGAAUUACUGGGCGUAAAGGGCUCGUAGGUGGCCAACUAAGUCAGACGUGAAAUCCCUCGGCUUAACCGGGGAACUGCGUCUGAUACUGGAUGGCUUGAGUUCGGGAGAGGGAUGCGGAAUUCCUGGUGUAGCGGUGAAAUGCGUAGAUAUCAGGAGGAACACCUGUGGUGUAGACAGCUUACUGGACCAUUUCUGACGCUGAGACACGAAAGCGUGGGUAGCAAACAGG
rnacentral:rRNA from 1 species